UCACAGCCUGGGAGCAGCAACUGGGAAGUCUCUCUUCUGAUUCUCCACCAACCUCCUGUGAAGGUGAUGGGAUGAAGAGAAAGUCAUCACCUGUAGGUUUGAAGACCCAACCUAUACAGCCCAUGUAGUACUGCCAUAAGGAAGGGAGCCGUGGGUGUGACCAAUCACAGCCAUCUUAACUGUAGUUUGGAAAGGCCAAGCCCCCAAUGAUAGAAUAUUGCAAAAGGCCCUGCUGUAACUACAUUUCCCAGAAUGCGUUGGACUCGAAUGAGGCUGAAGGCUGGCCUCACAUUCAUUCUAAAUGAAAUAAAUACCCACAAAAAGGACAAAAGUAGUUUCCACAGCUAUUAGGUCACAGCCCAAAGUGAAUCUUGGAAUGAUGGGCCAAGGGAGAUGAGAAAACAAAUUCAGCCUAGAUCAC
rnacentral:lncRNA from 11 species